rnacentral:tRNA from 1 species
GCCAGUCUAGCUCAGUUUGUAGAGUGCAAGGCUCUUAACCUUGUGGUCGUGGGUUCGAGCCCCACGGUGGGCG